rnacentral:rRNA from 1 species
UCACGGGUGAGUAACAUAUAGUUAAUCUGCCCCUUGGAGGGGGAUAGCCAUUGGAAACGAUGAUUAAUACCCCAUACUCCUGAUGUCGUAAAGGCAUCAGGGAAACGUCUUUUCGCCAAGGGAUGAGACUAUAUCGCAUCAGCUUGUUGGUAGGGUAAUGGCCUACCAAGGCAAUGACGCGUAGCGGGUCUGAGAGGAUGAUCCGCCACACUGGUACUGAGACACGGACCAGACUCCUACGGGAGGCAGCNUUGAGGAAUAUUGCACAAUGGGCGAAAGCCUGAUGCAGCAACGCCGCGUGGAGGAUGACGCAUUUCGGUGUGUAAACUCCUUUUAUCAGGGAAGAUAAUGACGGUACCUGAUGAAUAAGCACCGGCUAACUCCGUGCCAGCAGCCGCGGUAAUACGGAGGGUGCAAGCGUUACUCGGAAUCACUGGGCGUAAAGCGCGCGCAGGCGGGCUGAUAAGUUGGAUGUGAAAUCCUAUGGCUCAACCAUAGAACUGCAUCCAAAACUGUCAGUCUAGAGUCUGGGAGGGGAAGAUGGAAUUAGUUGUGUAGGGGUAAAACCCGUAGAGAUAACUAGGAAUACCAAAAGCGAAGGCGAUCUUCUGGAACAGU